rnacentral:ncRNA from 2 species
UGGUUAAAAUUCAAUAUUACUUAUUUAUGCUACGAAUAGGCGUAGCGUUUCUACAAGACACCGUAAUGUCUAACAAUAAGUCAGUUCUCAGUUGUU